AUGAUGCCCAGCUUGCUGGGUGGAUUAGUGGCGAACGGGUGAGUAACACGUGAGUAACCUGCCCCUGACUCUGGGAUAAGCGUUGGAAACGACGUCUAAUACUGGAUAUGACUGCCGGCCGCAUGGUCUGGUGGUGGAAAGAUUUUUUGGUUGGGGAUGGACUCGCGGCCUAUCAGCUUGUUGGUGAGGUAAUGGCUCACCAAGGCGACGACGGGUAGCCGGCCUGAGAGGGUGACCGGCCACACUGGGACUGAGACACGGCCCAGACUCCUACGGGAGGCAGCAGUGGGGAAUAUUGCACAAUGGGCGAAAGCCUGAUGCAGCAACGCCGCGUGAGGGAUGACGGCCUUCGGGUUGUAAACCUCUUUUAGUAGGGAAGAAGCGUAAGUGACGGUACCUGCAGAAAAAGCACCGGCUAACUACGUGCCAGCAGCCGCGGUAAUACGUAGGGUGCAAGCGUUGUCCGGAAUUAUUGGGCGUAAAGAGCUCGUAGGCGGUUUGUCGCGUCUGCUGUGAAAUCCCGAGGCUCAACCUCGGGCUUGCAGUGGGUACGGGCAGACUAGAGUGCGGUAGGGGAGAUUGGAAUUCCUGGUGUAGCGGUGGAAUGCGCAGAUAUCAGGAGGAACACCGAUGGCGAAGGC
rnacentral:rRNA from 1 species